rnacentral:rRNA from 1 species
UACGUAGGGUGCAAGCGUUAAUCGGAAUUACUGGGCGUAAAGCGUGCGCCGGCGGUUGUGCCAGACAGAUGUGAAAUCCCCGGGCUUAACCUGGGAAUUGCAUUUGUGACUGCACGGCUAGAGUGUGUCAGAGGGGGGUAGAAUUCCACGUGUAGCAGUGAAAUGCGUAGAUAUGUGGAGGAAUACCGAUGGCGAAGGCAGCCCCCUGGGAUAACACUGACGCUCAUGCACGAAAGCGUGGGGAGCAAACAGG